CGGCAUGUGGAGCAAGGCGCGCUGCCUGGCCGCCCUGGAGAGCCGGCUGCCGGACGCGUACACGGUCGACGUGGCGUUCAAGCUGCCGGUGCCGC
rnacentral:tRNA from 1 species